GAACGCUGGCGGCGUGCCUAAUACAUGCAAGUCGAACGAACUCUGGUAUUGAUUGGUGCUUGCAUCAUGAUUUACAUUUGAGUGAGUGGCGAACUGGUGAGUAACACGUGGGAAACCUGCCCAGAAGCGGGGGAUAACACCUGGAAACAGAUGCUAAUACCGCAUAACAACUUGGACCGCAUGGUCCGAGCUUGAAAGAUGGCUUCGGCUAUCACUUUUGGAUGGUCCCGCGGCGUAUUAGCUAGAUGGUGGGGUAACGGCUCACCAUGGCAAUGAUACGUAGCCGACCUGAGAGGGUAAUCGGCCACAUUGGGACUGAGACACGGCCCAAACUCCUACGGGAGGCAGCAGUAGGGAAUCUUCCACAAUGGACGAAAGUCUGAUGGAGCAACGCCGCGUGAGUGAAGAAGGGUUUCGGCUCGUAAAACUCUGUUGUUAAAGAAGAACAUAUCUGAGAGUAACUGUUCAGGUAUUGACGGUAUUUAACCAGAAAGCCACGGCUAACUACGUGCCAGCAGCCGCGGUAAUACGUAGGUGGCAAGCGUUGUCCGGAUUUAUUGGGCGUAAAGCGAGCGCAGGCGGUUUUUUAAGUCUGAUGUGAAAGCCUUCGGCUCAACCGAAGAAGUGCAUCGGAAACUGGGAAACUUGAGUGCAGAAGAGGACAGUGGAACUCCAUGUGUAGCGGUGAAAUGCGUAGAUAUAUGGAAGAACACCAGUGGCGAAGGCGGCUGUCUGGUCUGUAACUGACGCUGAGGCUCGAAAGUAUGGGUAGCAAACAGGAUUAGAUACCCUGGUAGUCCAUACCGUAAACGAUGAAUGCUAAGUGUUGGAGGGUUUCCGCCCUUCAGUGCUGCAGCUAACGCAUUAAGCAUUCCGCCUGGGGAGUACGGCCGCAAGGCUGAAACUCAAAGGAAUUGACGGGGGCCCGCACAAGCGGUGGAGCAUGUGGUUUAAUUCGAAGCUACGCGAAGAACCUUACCAGGUCUUGACAUACUAUGCAAAUCUAAGAGAUUAGACGUUCCCUUCGGGGACAUGGAUACAGGUGGUGCAUGGUUGUCGUCAGCUCGUGUCGUGAGAUGUUGGGUUAAGUCCCGCAACGAGCGCAACCCUUAUUAUCAGUUGCCAGCAUUAAGUUGGGCACUCUGGUGAGACUGCCGGUGACAAACCGGAGGAAGGUGGGGAUGACGUCAAAUCAUCAUGCCCCUUAUGACCUGGGCUACACACGUGCUACAAUGGAUGGUACAACGAGUUGCGAACUCGCGAGAGUAAGCUAAUCUCUUAAAGCCAUUCUCAGUUCGGAUUGUAGGCUGCAACUCGCCUACAUGAAGUCGGAAUCGCUAGUAAUCGCGGAUCAGCAUGCCGCGGUGAAUACGUUCCCGGGCCUUGUACACACCGCCCGUCACACCAUGAGAGUUUGUAACACCCAAAGUCGGUGGGGUAACCUUUUAGGAACCAGCCGCCUAAGGUGGGACAGAUGAUUAGGGGUG
rnacentral:rRNA from 1 species